rnacentral:rRNA from 1 species
CCUACGGGAGGCAGCAGUGAGGAAUAUUGGUCAAUGGACGAGAGUCUGAACCAGCCAAGUAGCGUGAAGGAUGACUGUCCUAUGGGUUGUCAACUUCUUUUAUAUGGGAAUAAAAUGUUCCACGUGUGGGAUUUUGUAUGUACCAUAUGAAUAAGGAUCGGCUAACUCCGUGCCAGCAGCCGCGGUAAUACGGAGGAUGCGAGCGUUAUCCGGAUUUAUUGGGUUUAAAGGGAGCGUAGGCGGAUUGUUAAGUCAGUUGUGAAAGUUUGCGGCUCAAACGUAAAAUUGCAGUUGAAACUGGCAGUCUUGAGUACAGUAGAGGUGUGCGGAAUUCGUGGUGUAGCGGUGAAAUGCUUAGAUAUCACGAAGAACUCCGAUUGCGAAGGCAGUUCACUGGACUGCAACUGACACUGAGGCACGAAAGUGUGGGUAUCGAACAGGAUUAGAUACCCUUGUAGUC